rnacentral:rRNA from 1 species
UACGUAGGGUGCAAGCGUUGUCCGGAAUUAUUGGGCGUAAAGAGCGUGUAGGCGGCCCGAUUAGUCCGCUGUGAAAGUCCAGGGCUCAACCCUGGAAUGCCGGUGGAUACUGUCGGGCUAGAGUCCGGAAGGGGCGAGUGGAAUUCCUGGUGUAGCGGUGAAAGUGCGCAGAUAUCAGGAGGAACACCAAUGGCGAAGGCAGCUCGCUGGGACGUGACUGACGCUGAGACGCGAAAGCGUGGGGAGCAAACAGG